rnacentral:lncRNA from 1 species
GAAAACGUGUUUUGCGGUUUUGGCAGGAAAACGCGUUUUUGCAGUUUUAGCGAAAAAACAUAUUUUCACGGUUUUAGCGGAAAAAAACUUAUUUUUGCAGGUUUUGGCGGGAAACGCAUUUUACCACCGAAUAAAUGAUUGAACUUUUGAAAAACUCAUAAUUUUCCAAUUCUAUCAAACUUUAGAAUUGAGUGGUUUAUUAUACAUGUGACAAAUGACUUUACUUUGUGCAUUUUAUAGAUAUUUUUAUUUUAUUUUAUUUUUAUAUUUUAUACAUAAAUUAUUGGAAAUUCUCCAGAUAGACCUUAAUUUUUUUUUUAAAUCACAA